UAGGAAAAACCUUUGAAAUGUCAGAUCCGGUGGCCUGCCUGCAGUAGGGGCUGAAGGUCAAGCUCCAGAAGAUGCGGAGACACGGGGAACCGGGGAGCUUCAGGUUGUCUCAGUUGUCUGGUCUCAUUUUUGACAGGAGAUUCUAACUGAAAAAAAAGAAAAAUGAAGGGAAGAAGAAAGGUGGUAUGGGAGGGAGGGAGGGAGGAAGGAAGGAAGGGACCGGAUAAAUGAAGGAGGGAGAGAGACAGAAAGAGAGCAUGUAAAAAAGCUGCUUUAUUCCUUCAUUUGAGAGUGUGGUUCAUAUCUUUUUCAAAGUGUAAAAUUCCUAGAAUUGCUUAGCAAAAUGGGUAAUUUAUGAUCACGACUUGAGCAUUGGGUUGGUUAUGCUAGUUAGUUACCAAGUUAUGACUGUGUGACUUGUUAAAGUUUUACAAAGAUUUACAUUUACAGGGGAAAAUGUCCUUAUUUUUAGGUUAAUGAAGAAAUGGAAAAGAGAAAUGAAGUCCUUUUAAUAAAAUCACUAAAUGAAAUUAAAAAAGAAUUUCUUGCACUACAAAGCAAGAUAAGAUUGGACAGUGUAAGUAAUAUCGUCAAUCCUUUUUGGUUUACCCAGGCAAUUCAUCUUAAGAUGAACAAUUGCUUGGUAGUGAGGAUUUUCUUUCAUUAAAUGGGAAAAACCUUGGAAAUAUUUCAUCACACCAGAUUUUUUUUUCCCAAACGUGAAUGUUAUCACUAAAAGAAUGUGGUCAUGACUAUUCUUUCUCUCUUUAACAGAAAGAGUAAAAGAUGGGAAGUUUCCUCAUUUGUCUUCAGUUUGUGUAAUUUUGAAUGCUCUGAGAAGAAAGAACUUGUACCUAAGUAAUAUGAUAUAACUGUAACCAUUAGCUAAGGGAAUUGUCAGUUGUUGCUGUGCUUUAAAAACUUUCAAGUUCCUAAACCUGAAGUUUUAAAUAGGUAGUUAAUGAAAUGCUUGAAUCUCUAUAAUAGGGUCCGCCGGUGUAAACAAAAGAAUGUCUUAUGUAUAUUCACAUCUGAACUGUGUACUUUCGCUUAAAUAUUACUAACAUUGUAAAAAUGACUAAUGUUUUGGUAUUUGGUGAAUAUUUUUUCAACUUAAACAGUGAAAAAGCCUAUGUGGUGCCAAUAAAAUCUCGGUCGAUUUUA